UAAUACGUAGGGUGCAAGCGUUGUCCGGAAUUAUUGGGCGUAAAGAGCUCGUAGGCGGUUUGUCGCGUCUGCUGUGAAAACCCGAGGCUCAACCUCGGGCCUGCAGUGGGUACGGGCAGACUAGAGUGCGGUAGGGGAGAUUGGAAUUCCUGGUGUAGCGGUGGAAUGCGCAGAUAUCAGGAGGAACACCGAUGGCGAAGGCAGAUCUCUGGGCCGUAACUGACGCUGAGGAGCGAAAGCGUGGGGAGCGAACAGG
rnacentral:rRNA from 1 species